rnacentral:rRNA from 1 species
GAACGCUAGCGACAGGCUAACACAUGCAAGUCGAGGGGUAACAGGGUAGCAAUACCGCUGACGACCGGCGCACGGUGAGUAACGCGUAUGCAACCUGCCUAUAACUGGGGAAUAGCUCCCUGAAAGGGGGAAUUAACACCGCAUAACACUAUUGAUUCGCAUGGAUUAGUAGUUAAAUGUAGCGAUACAGGUUAUAGAUGGGCAUGCGUGACAUUAGCUAGUUGGUGAGGUAACGGCUCACCAAGGCUACGAUGUCUAGGGGUUCUGAGAGGAAGGUCCCCCCACACUGGUACUGAGACACGGACCAGACUCCCACGGGAGGCAGCAGUGAGGAAUAUUGGUCAAUGGGCGCAAGCCUGAACCAGCCAUGUCGCGUGCAGGAAGAACCUGCCCUAUGGGUUGUAAACUGCUUUUAUAGUAGAAGAAACACAUCUACGUGUAGAUGUCUGCCAGUAUACUAUGAAUAAGCAUCGGCUAACUCCGUGCCAGCCGCCGC